rnacentral:rRNA from 1 species
AACCCCUGUGACAUACCACUUGUUGCCUCGGCGGAUCAGCCCGCUCCCGGUAAAACGGGACGGCCCGCCAGAGGACCCCUAAACUCUGUUUCUAUAUGUAACUUCUGAGUAAAACCAUAAAUAAAUCAAAACUUUCAACAACGGAUCUCUUGGUUCUGGCAUCGAUGAAGAACGCAGCAAAAUGCGAUAAGUAAUGUGAAUUGCAGAAUUCAGUGAAUCAUCGAAUCUUUGAACGCACAUUGCGCCCGCCAGUAUUCUGGCGGGCAUGCCUGUUCGAGCGUCAUUUCAACCCUCAAGCACAGCUUGGUGUUGGGACUCGCGUUAAUUCGCGUUCCUCAAAUUGAUUGGCGGUCACGUCGAGCUUCCAUAGCGUAGUAGUAAAACCCUCGUUACUGGUAAUCGUCGCGGCCACGCCGUUAAACCCCAACUUCUGAAUGUUGACCUCGGAUCAGGUAGGAAUACCCGCUGAACUUAAGCAUAUC